rnacentral:lncRNA from 1 species
GUCGAGUCAAAGUGCUGGAUCGUGCAAUCGACGUCCGUAACAACUUGUUCUCAAUUGACUGCCUGCCCUUUUUUGACAUGUCAAGACACUUCAGGAGUAUCUGAACGAGUUCACCGCCUUGAAGUUCGGGGAAGUGGAGCGGUAAUGAAGAGGAGAAAAGCCUGCUCGAACAUCACUUGAGUGACAUCAUCUGGGACAGUUGGAACAACUCUACGCUCCACAUUUAAUUCAGUGUCAAUCCUGAUUUCAUCAACAUGGACUGAUGGAACAAAAGUCAUGCAAAUAUGCUGUUUUGUGUAGUGGUGUCACAAGAUAAAGUACUUCCUUGAUGAGUUCAGAGAUGGAUGAUCAAUCAAACAUAGAAUAUGGUUUCUAGCAACCCUGCAGGUAUCCUUCAUACGCCAUUGGCGUAACGCCAAUGAGAGUGCAUAAAGCUUGCACAUAUUAUAAACGGUAUCUGUGCUAUCCCCAAUAUAUAACAUUAGACCAAUUACAUUGCCAAAUUACAAUGGAG